rnacentral:rRNA from 1 species
UACGGAGGGAGCUAGCGUUAUUCGGAAUUACUGGGCGUAAAGCGCACGUAGGCGGCUUUGUAAGUAAGAGGUGAAAGCCCAGAGCUCAACUCUGGAAUUGCCUUUUAGACUGCAUCGCUUGAAUCAUGGAGAGGUCAGUGGAAUUCCGAGUGUAGAGGUGAAAUUCGUAGAUGAUUCGGAAGAACACCAGUGGCGAAGGCGGCUGACUGGACAUGUAUUGACGCUGAGGUGCGAAAGCGUGGGGAGC